UCUGUGCCAAUUUUGCAGAAGUGUGCCAAAUGACUUCUUGAUGUGCCGGGGUCGACCCAAUCAAUCUUUGGGUCGACUUAAUCCACUCUUUGCUGCAUCUCAAUGUUAGAUUCAUUCAAAUGAACAAUGAAAUAUAUCUAUGUCAAUUCAUACAAAUAUACUGAGAGUAAUGGACUUAUAAAUGAAGUAUUGAUUUAACUUAUAACAUACUCUAGAUAAUUGCUUGUUAAUCAUCAAAAUAACACUAUCAUCCUCAAU
rnacentral:lncRNA from 1 species